rnacentral:lncRNA from 1 species
AGGUCCCCGGUACUUCACCAAGUUGGUAUUUGGUUGACUCAUAAUGUCGCUGCUACUCGUAGCAAUACAUACAAAUAGACAAGAAGUAUAUAAAAAUAAUAGUACACCAAACAUGAGAACAAACAACGCAAGAGUAUUCUACGCGCUUCUACGAGAUAAAGUUGGAGUUACGGUUAAAAAGAUAUGAUUUUCUAAAAUUGUAGAUGAUUAAAUAAUAAAACUAUGUUUAUGUUGAUUAAUAUAAAUCAGAUGAGAAAAAUACUUCAAAUAUACAUUUAAUUCAUCUCCUCAUCUAAGUUAUAUCUUAACUAUGAGUCGGUUUAUAAUUAUUACCUUAGAGAGAUUAAUUGGCUAAACAUAGGCUAAGAGUUAUCUAAUUAUAGGAGUGUGUGACAUAAUACAUCUAAUGUUAUUACUGUAUGGACAACAUUAAUAUGAGACUAACGCGACCAGAACGAAGAAAAUCGUGGCAAAAACGAGUAAGUUAUGAAUUUCCUGAGGUUCCUAGAUUUAUUUUUAUACUAGAAUUUCUAUUUCAAAAUUGAUUCUGUGAUAUACAUUAAGCACUAGGGAUGUUAGUUCAAUAAUCCUAAAGUCUAGGGUUCACUUUGAAAAGAAAAGGACUGAACCGACACAAUUUUAUAACUGAGGUGGACUAAGGGUUUAUAUUAAGGAAGUCGGAGGUCUCUUAUGCAUAACUCCCUAGCCAAAGGGGUAUCGGCCAACCGGAUCCAUCAGAUCCACUUUCAACAGUUCAGAUUAAAAGUCCCUUAACGUUAUGAACCGGUAUUCACCAUGGACCACCGGAUCUGAGAUCCACGGCUCGCAAUACGACCGCGCGCUGAUCACACCCGAGCCCUUGGAUCAUCGAUCAACGCACACGAUUUAAUCCAUCGAAGGCUUACACUUGAUCUAAUCAUGACUGUUGGCCCAAGAUCCAACGGCCCGGAACCCAUCGACCACCUCCCGACGGCCAGGCGUGGCGACCGGAGAUCCACCGUGACGGCGCCAUUGCUGGCGACCACAGAUCACGUGCCAGAGCGUCAAGGCUUUAAUUCGACAAGUGCUAUACAAAGCGGGUAGAAAAUCGUAGGUAGUAGGCGGUUCAAUACCUGAAUUCGAGUAGUAGAGCUCCCUAUCCGCGGGAUAGGGCGGUUCGACGAAAUAAAGAUUGCUCCGAUGAGCAAUUAGCGGGUCACUGUUGGGUUUCCCCGCCUGAGAUGGCCACGGAUGAGUUCCAUGUGCACCUGCGACGCCCCCAGACCACACCACGUGACCGAACGUCGGUGAAUCGUGAGGACCACAAUAGCGGCUUCGAGUUACCUCUCGCUUUCUCUGCGCUCACACUUCGGCAAUGGUGGCUCACGACUGCAUAGGUUGGGAUGGCCAAGGGGUUCACAGAUGGUCGUAUAAAUACACUGGUGAGAGACAAAAUCCCAACAAUC